GGAUUGUGGCUCAGUGGUACGGCGCCUGCUUAGCAUGCGUGAGGCACUGGGUUCGAUCCCCAGAACCA
rnacentral:tRNA from 1 species